UACGAAGGGUGCAAGCGUUACUCGGAAUUACUGGGCGUAAAGCGUGCGUAGGCGGUUUGUUAAGUCUGUCGUGAAAGCCCUGGGCUCAACCUGGGAAUUGCGAUGGAUACUGGCAAGCUAGAGUACGGUAGAGGAUGGUGGAAUUCCCGGUGUAGCGGUGAAAUGCGUAGAGAUCGGGAGGAACACCCGUGGCGAAGGCGGCCAUCUGGACCAGUACUGACGCUGAGGCACGAAGGUCAGGGGAGCAAACGGG
rnacentral:rRNA from 1 species